AACACGUGAGUAACCUGCCCCUGACUCUGGGAUAAGCGUUGGAAACGACGUCUAAUACUGGAUGUGAUCACUGGCCGCAUGGUCUGGUGGUGGAAAGAUUUUUUGGUUGGGGAUGGACUCGCGGCCUAUCAGCUUGUUGGUGAGGUAAUGGCUCACCAAGGCGACGACGGGUAGCCGGCCUGAGAGGGUGACCGGCCACACUGGGACUGAGACACGGCCCAGACUCCUACGGGAGGCAGCAGUGGGGAAUAUUGCACAAUGGGCGAAAGCCUGAUGCAGCAACGCCGCGUGAGGGAUGACGGCCUUCGGGUUGUAAACCUCUUUUAGUAGGGAAGAAGCGAAAGUGACGGUACCUGCAGAAAAAGCACCGGCUAACUACGUGCCAGCAGCCGCGGUAAUACGUAGGGUGCAAGCGUUGUCCGGAAUUAUUGGGCGUAAAGAGCUCGUAGGCGGUUUGUCGCGUCUGCUGUGAAAUCCCGAGGCUCAACCUCGGGCUUGCAGUGGGUACGGGCAGACUAGAGUGCGGUAGGGGAGAUUGGAAUUCCUGGUGUAGCGGUGGAAUGCGCANAUAUCAGGAGGAACACCGAUGGCGAAGGCAGAUCUCUGGNCCGUAACUGACGCUGAGGAGCGAAAGCGUGGGGAGCGAACAGGAUUAGAUACCCUGG
rnacentral:rRNA from 1 species